rnacentral:rRNA from 1 species
CGGCUCAGUAACACGUGGAUAACCUACCCUUGAGACGGGGAUAAACCCGGGAAACUGGGUAUAAUACCCGAUAGAUCUCGACUGCUGGAAUGCAUCGAGCUUGAAAGCUCCGGCGCUCAAGGAUGGGUCUGCGGCCUAUCAGGUAGUAGUGGGUGUAGCGUACCUACUAGCCUACGACGGGUACGGGUUGUGAGAGCAAGAGCCCGGAGAUGGAUUCUGAGACACGAAUCCAGGCCCUACGGGGUGCAGCAGGCGCGAAAACUUUACAAUGCUGGAAACAGCGAUAAGGGGACCUCGAGUGCCAGGUUACAAAUCUGGCUGUCGUGAUGCCUAAAAAGCAUUGCAUAGCAAGGGCCGGGCAAGACCGGUGCCAGCCGCCGCGGUAACACCGGCGGCUCGAGUGGUAACCGUUAUUAUUGGGUCUAAAGGGUCUGUAGCCGGCCGGAUAAGUCUCUUGGGAAAUCUGGCAGCUUAACUGUCAGGCUUUCAGGAGAUACUGUCUGGCUCGAGGCCGGGAGAGGUGAGAGGUACUUCAGGGGUAGGGGUGAAAUCUUGUAAUCCUUGAAGGACCACCAGUGGCGAAGGCGUCUCACCAGAACGGACCUGACGGCAAGGGACGAAAGCUAGGGGCACGAACCGGAUUAGAUACCCGGGUAGUCCUAGCCGU